UGGACCAUGCAUGAAAAAUAGGAGUAUAUCAUGAACCAAGGAUUAUGAUUAAUCCAAUUUUGUACCUCUGAGGUCCAA